GGAAGGAUCAUUCCCAAUUAAAAACUUAACAACCGUGUAACCUUAAAGUUAACCAAACCAUUCAAUGAAGAUGAGUUUUUCAUUUUUGGAUGAGAUCAAUUUUUUUCAGAAUGACUUUGGUGCAAUUUUCAUCAUGCAUAUAAUUGUUGGGUUAUAUGUUCAUUUUUUCUUUACAACUAUAUUGAAAACUGUACCUUUGUGUACUUUUUAUAAACGAACAGCUAUAAGCGGUGGAUACCUUGGCUACCACAACGAUGAAGAACGCAGCAAAGCGCGAUAGUAAUUGCGAAUUGCAGAAUUCAGUGAAUCAUCGUAACUUUGAACGCAUUGCGCUCUUGGGAAACCUUGAGCAUGCUAAUUUGAGUGUCGGAAAAACCUAAAUGAGAUGUCCAAAGGGAACAAGUUCCUAAAAUUUCUUUUGUUUGGAAUUCUCAAGAGACAUUGGUUUCUUGAGUGAAGAAGAAUAGCUGAAAUAAUCUGGGCUUUUCUUUGGUCUCUUCAAGUAUGCAAGGUGUAAAACAUUAACCUUUUGAACCUUCAAACAAAGGUUAUGGCUGUGUAGUAACGAUAAUUGAUGCUAUCACGGAUAGUUUUCUGAUUAAAGUGCUCAGUUUGUAAUUUUGAAGUCAAGAGUGUAUUUGUGAUUAAGCUAGGAGAGGUUUUUAUUCUCUCACUUUAUUUGUGCAAGAGAUUGAACAAUUUUUUUCAUUCAAGACCUCAUCUUAGUAAGACAACCCCCUGAAUUUAAGCAUAUUAGUAUGGGGAGGAAAAGAAACUAACAAGGAUUCCCUUAGUAACGGCGAGUGAAACGGGAGUAGCUCAUCCUGAAAAUCGUAGUUUGUUUCAAACUACGAAUUGUGGGGUAUGGAAACGCUCUCAGCGUGUGGCCUCGGUCUAAGUCUGCUGGAAAGCAGCUGUCGGAGAGGGUGAGAACCCCGUCUGUGAUUGGGAGUCCGCCGCGUACGAGACGUUCUCUAAGAGUCGGGUUGCUUGGGAUUGCAGCCUUAAAUGGGAGGUGAAUUCCUUCUAAAGCUAAAUACAUGUGGUAGACCGAUAGCAUACAAAGUACCGUAAGGGAACGGUGAAAAGGACUUUGAAAAGAGAGUCAAAAGUACUUGAAACCGCUUAUAGUCAAGGGAUAAGAACUAUUGCAUCGAGUCGUUGAAUAAACCUGUGCUGGUUGGAAUGCUUCGGAUUUCGUUAGUCGGUUCUUUUGGGAGCCGUAAUGGGUUUGUUGUGUGAAAAUCAGAACGGGGGUCUUUGACGCGGGUAGCUAAGGUGCAUUUGAUGUUGUGACAAUAACUUCCAAGCGGUGGUAGAGUGGAGUCCAAAUAUCUUUUUGGAUGAAGCUCGAAUGACGCAUGGAUGGCGAACUCACAGAUUGGAUGCUUUACAACUUGGCGAAAUGGUUCUUAUUAUCCCGUCUUGAAACACGGACCAAGGAGUGUAACGUGUGUGCGAGUGUUAGGGUGUGAAACCCGAGUGCGAAAUGAAAGUGAAUGCUUGGAUUACCGAGCAGAGGUGUUAAUCUGUUCUCUGGAAUGGAGUCCGCACCGCCCAGCCUUUCCCUAGUGUUAGGCUCGAGGACGAGCACAUCCGUUGCGACCCGAAAGAUGGUGAACUAUACCUGAGGCAGGAUGAAGCCAGGGGAAACUCUGGUGGAAGUCCGCAGCGAUACUGACGUGCAAAUCGUUCGUCAGACUUGGGUAUAGGGGCGAAAGACCAAUCGAACCGUCUAGUAGCUGGUUCCCCC
rnacentral:misc_RNA from 1 species